AAUGAUAAAUAACUUGUUUUUAAAAAAAAAUAAUAUUUGCGUUAAGAAAAAUAAUUUAAUAAAAGAAAAUUGUUAGUAAUUUUUAAUAAAUUCAAAUACUUAGGCUAUAGUAAAAAGUACUGUAAAGGAAAGGAAAAAUAAAAUUUUUUAUAGUAAAUUUUAAAAUUUGUACCUUGUGUAUCAGGGAAAAUUUAUAUAAAUUAAGAAAGUUAAAUGUCUCGAAAUAAAAUAUAGCUAAUUUUAUAAAAAAUUUUUUGUAGAAAAUAAAUUUUGAAUAUAAAAUUAAAGGUGAAACACUAAUCGAGUUUUAUAAUAUCUAGUUUUUUAAAAAUAAAUUUAAUUUAACUUUUAGAUCUACAAAAUUUAAAAUUAAAGUGUAGGAGGGAUUAGCUUCUUAUAAACUAAAAUGUAAAACAGUUAAAAAUAAGAUUAAUUAGUGAAUUAAGCUUAAAAGUAGCUAUAUUUAUAAAGUGUUUUAACUAAACUAAAGUCCAAUAUUAUUUGUACAAACUUUUUAUAAUAUUAAAAAAUUAAUUAAAAUUAAAAGAGUUAAAUUAUAAUGAUUUUAUCAGUAGAAAUUUUAUAUGAACAAAAUAACUAAAAUAAUAAAAGUUGUUUAAAAAUUAGUAUUUUAAUAUAGAGGAACUCGGCAAAAAUAUUUUCUUUGCCUGUUUAUCAAAAACAUGUCUAUUUGGAGAUAUAAAAAGUUUAACCUGCCCACUGAUAAAAGUAAAUUGAAUGGCCGCGGUAUUUUGACCGUGCAAAGGUAGCAUAAUCGUUAGUUUUUUAAUUGGAAUCUUGUAUGAAUGGUUGGACAAAAGAAAAUCUGUCUUUAUAUUAUUUAUUGAAUUUAACUUUUAAGUGAAAAGGCUUAAAUGGAUUAAAGGGACGAUAAGACCCUAUAAAGCUUAAUAUUAAAAUUUUAUUUAGUUGAAUUUUAUUAUAAAAACUUAGUAAUUAAAUUUAUUUUAUUGGGGCGAUAAGAGUAAAAUGGCCAUUAACUGCUUAAUUUUAUAUACACUUAUGAGUGAUUAAUUUUUUAGAUGAUCCUAAGUAAAGAUUAAAAGUUUAAGUUACUUUAGGGAUAACAGCGUUAUUUUUCUUAAGAGUACUUAUCGAAAGAAAAGUUUGCGACCUCGAUGUUGAAUUAAAAUGUCUUUAUAAUUGCAGCAGUUAUAGAAGUAGGUCUGUUCGACCUUUAAAAUUUUACAUGAUUUGAGUUCAGACCGGCGCAAGCCAGGUUGGUUUCUAUCUUUUAACAAAAAGAAAUUAUUUUAGUACGAAAGGAUUAAAUAAUUAAAAUUAUUUUUAAAUGUGAUUU
rnacentral:rRNA from 1 species